rnacentral:rRNA from 1 species
UACGUAGGUGGCAAGCGUUGUCCGGAUUUACUGGGCGUAAAGAGCGCGCAGGCGGUCGUCCAAGUCGAAUGUGAAAUCCCUCGGCUCAACCGGGGAACUGCGUCUGAGACUGGAAGGCUUGAAUCCGGGAGAGGGAUGUGGAAUUCCAGGUGUAGCGGUGAAAUGCGUAGAUAUCUGGAGGAACACCGGUGGCGAAGGCGGCAUCCUGGACCGGUAUUGACGCUGAGGCGCGAAAGCCAGGGGAGCAAACGGG